CUCAUCUAUACAUAAUUCUGAAACUACUCAAGGUUUCUCACCAGACCAAAACCAUUAUAUUUCUCCUCUAAAAUGUCAGAUUCCGGUGAUCAAAGUUUUGUUCAUGUCGCUCUCCUUCCGAGCGCCGGCAUGGGUCACCUCACGCCCUUCCUUCGACUCGCUGCUUUACUCACAGCACACAAUGUUCGGGUCACCUUCAUCACUCCAAUUCCAACCGUCUCACUUGCAGAGUCGCAGAGUUUAUCUCAAUUGUCCACCACCUUCCCUCAGAUCACUCAAAAGCAUCUUCAUCUCCUUCCACUUGAUGAGCUGUCGGCCAAUUCAGAAGACCCCUUUUACUACCAUUUUGAGUUGAUUCGCCGCUCCUCUCACCUACUCCCUCCUCUUCUAUCUUCACUCUCUCCACCUCUCUCAGCUAUGAUCACAGAUAUGAGCUUCUCCUCCACUGUUAUUCCCAUAACCGAUUCUCUUGGACUUCCUAACUACAUUUUCUUCACAUCAUCUGCCAAAAUGUUGACACUUUAUGUGUCCUUCCACACCAUGCUCGGCCCACACCGAGAAAUCAAAGAUGGUCUCGAAGUUUCAGGUUUAGAGCCAAUACCAAAAGCAUGGAUUCCUCCACCACUUCUCAAGGACGGCAACAAUCUCCUGAAGAGCUUUUUCACAGAGAAUGGCAAGAAAAUGACGGAGUCGACUGGAAUUCUGAUCAACACAUUCGAGAGUAUAGAGCAUGAGACAGUGGCUGCACUAAAUGAGGGCAGGGUAUUAAAAGGGCUACCAUCGGCAAUUGCCUUUGGACCACUUCCACCAUGUAACUCUGAGACAGACCAUCAACUAGCAUGGCUAGAUGAUCAACCAACUGGAUCAGUGUUCUAUGUCAGCUUUGGGAGUAGGACUGCAAUGUCAAGGGAGCAAGUCAGAGAGUUGGGUGAGGGCUUGGUGAGGAGUGGGUGUAGGUUUCUGUGGGUCGUGAAGGAUAAAAAAGUUGACAUGGAAGAUGAUGAGAAACUGACUGAGGUGCUUGGACAGGGUUUACUGGAAAGAGUGAAGGAAAAGGGAUUGGCAGUGAAGAAGUGGCUGAACCAAGAGCAGGUAUUGAGGCAUCCUGCAAUCGCUGGCUUUUUAAGUCAUUGUGGCUGGAAUUCCUUGAGUGAGGCUCUGUGGAAUGGUGUGCCCGUAUUAGCAUGGCCGCAACAUGGGGACCAGAAAAUCAAUGCCGACUUGGUGGAGAGAAUUGGGCUGGGAGUGUGGGUUAAGAGUUGGGGUUGGAGUGAGGAGGAGAUGGUGGUGAAAGCAGAGGAUAUUGCAGCGAGGGUUAAGGAGAUUAUGGGAAAUGACUCAUUGAGAUUGCAAGCACUACACAUUAAGGAAGAGGCUAGAUUGGCAGUAGGAGAUACUGGUAGUUCUACAAAGAGACUCACUGCUCUCAUUGAGACAUGGAAAGAGUUUCGGGUUAGUUAAACCUUCCUUUUCUGAACCCAUCUUCAUUUACAGAUGGACUCCAGUACUAAGCCUUUCUUGGAGAUCGGUUGGGCCAAAUACAAUCCCAGCUGGGAAAACUCCUCCCUUUGGAAGAUUGUCGCGCUGGCUCAGAACAAUAAGUGCACACUGAAGCAGAAUUAUUGGGGUUGUUAAGUAGCCAAUUUCAGGUCCC